rnacentral:rRNA from 1 species
CCGUGUGUGAAGAAGGUACUUCCGGAGUUGUAAAGCACUUUUGGCAGGGACGAUGAUGACGGUACCUGCAGAUAAGCCCGGCUAACUUCGUG